UUAGUUAGUUGGGUGGGUAAAGGCCUACCAAGACAAUGAUGCAUAGCCGAGUUGAGAGACUGAUCGGCCACAUUGGGACUGAGACACGGCCCAAAUUCCUACGGGAGGCUGCAGUAGGGAAUCUUCCACAAUGGGCGAAAGCCUGAUGGAGCAACGCCGCGUGUGUGAUGAAGGCUUUCGGGUCGUAAAGCACUGUUGUAUGGGAAGAAAAGUUAAGGUAGGGAAUGACCUUAGCCUGACGGUACCAUACCAGAAAGGGACGGCUAAAUACGUGCCAGCAGCCGCGGUAAUACGUAUGUCCCGAGCGUUAUCCGGAUUUAUUGGGCGUAAAGCGAGCGCAGACGGUUGGUUAAGUCUGAUGUGAAAGCCCGGAGCUCAACUCCGGAAAGGCAUUGGAAACUGGUUAACUUGAGUGCAGUAGAGGUAAGUGGAACUCCAUGUGUAGCGGUGGAAUGCGUAGAUAUAUGGAAGAACACCAGCGGCGAAGGCGGCUUACUGGACUGUAACUGACGUUGAGGCUCGAAAGUGUGGGUAGCAAACAGGAUUAGAUACCCUGGUAGUCCACACCGUAAACGAUGAACACUAGGUGUUAGGAGGUUUCCGCCUCUUAGUGCCGAAGCUAACGCAUUAAGUGUUCCGCCUGGGGAGUACGACCGCAAGGUUGAAACUCAAAGGAAUUGACGGGGACCCGCACAAGCGGUGGAGCAUGUGGUUUAAUUCGAAGCAACGCGAAGAACCUUACCAGGUCUUGACAUCCUUUGAAGCUUUUAGAAAUAGAAGUGUUCUCUUCGGAGACAAAGUGACAGGUGGUGCAUGGUCGUCGUCAGCUCGUGUCGUGAGAUGUUGGGUUAAGUCCCGCAACGAGCGCAACCCUUAUUGUUAGUUGCCAGCAUUCAGAUGGGCACUCUAGCGAGACUGCCGGUGACAAACCGGAGGAAGGCGGGGACGACGUCAGAUCAUCAUGCCCCUUAUGACCUGGGCUACACACGUGCUACAAUGGCGUAUACAACGAGUUGCCAACCUGCGAAGGUGAGCUAAUCUCUUAAAGUACGUCUCAGUUCGGACUGCAGUCUGCAACUCGACUGCACGAAGUCGGAAUCGCUAGUAAUCGCGGAUCAGCACGCCGCGGUGAAUACGUUCCCGGGUCUUGUACACACCGCCCGUCACACCAUGGAAGUUUGUAAUGCCCAAAGCCGGUGGCCUAACCGUAAGGAGGAACCGUC
rnacentral:rRNA from 1 species